rnacentral:tRNA from 1 species
GCCGCGUUAGUUUAUAAAAACAUUAGCCUGUGAAGCUAAAAAUGGAACUUUUAUCCACGCAGCU